CGUGUUUCAAACAGAGCUUCUACGUUUGCCGGUCAUUAUGCGUUGGUUUGUAUUUGAUCCCUCCAACCUCACUCCAGCAGAGCAGUGGAUCUUGGAGUUAACAAACCACUGAGAUUCAUGGGGCAGUGGACAUCUCUCAGAACCAUUGCUUCAGGCUUCCUGCAGACACUGGCAGACAUCACUUAAUUAUCAGGACAUUCAAACGCUGAAAGGGAAACCAUUCUGGUGGUAGGGCAGGAGUAACACCACAGAGAUAGAAGAGGAAGGCACAGAUAGACCCUGGAAGACCUGUUCUUUGACAUAGCUAGGAGAAGUCCGAUGUAGGUAUGCCAGUCAGCUCAGGUUCCGUGUUCUGAGAUGGAGUUUCUGUGGAUGCAGGACACGGCCUGAGUCCUGGGACAGCGGGUGAGACAGAAGUGGGAGUGCGAUUCAUGGAUGCACGGUCAUGCUGAGGGAUUCGGAGUUAUAGGUUCCCAAGGAUCAGAGAGUCGCUCAUGAGACCGUGAGUGAAUGGAGUGAGUCAUCUGCCUUUUUGGCGAAUAAAUUGGGCUGGCAAGUCUUCCACCGUGGAUUGCACUUCUUCAGGGAAGCCAGAAAGAUAGAGCCAUUAGGCCCUUCUCAUUACAACCACCGUCACAGAUGUUGCAGCCCUGUCCUCAGAAUCAAGUCCUGCAAAUUAUUCUCCCUUGUC